rnacentral:lncRNA from 1 species
AAAUCUUACAGAUCCUUUUCUUGAAAGAAUAACAGAAAAUGUGUCAUUCAUUUUUCAGAAUAUAACCACUCAAGCUACUGGCACAUAGUGAAAGAUUACUUCUGACAUUCCAUUGCUCUUCUUUUGAAAAUUAGUAUGGUAAUUAAAUGUACUUUUUGAAAAUUAAUAGAAUUAUUUAAAUUACAGUAUAUGUUGCAAAAUAUAUCACUUUUGAUACAAUAGUCAAAAUUGAGUGGUUUAAUGUUUUGUAAAUAUUAAGUGUUUAAAUGAAAAAUAAAGAUGUGCUUAUAUCAUUGUAUAAUUGUU